GGGGAGGGGGCGGGGCGAGCGGGGAGAGCGUUGGGGAGUCCGGGAAAACAGGGCUCAGGAACAUGGAGCAAUGUGCCCAAGGUCGUACAGCGAAACAAUCUGGCUGAUUAGAAGGUGUGCUGAUCCCGCAGCGGGUGUGUCCUUCUGACACACGCGUAUGGUCCGCGCCUCACUUCUGCUGCCCAUCCGCCUGUCUGGACCCGAUCGAGAGGGUUCAGGGUCAGUUAAGCGCAAACCGUGCCCCGGCACCACGGACUCGCUGUGAGUCACCAGGAAAGCGUACCGGUAGAGGCUCUGAUCUCAUGCACCCCCGGGCCUUGGGCCCUCGGAGAACCAACAGCUUCAGGAGCUCCGAGAGAGCCCCACCUCGUCCAUCAGCCUCCUGUUUCGCUUCAUUCAUGAAACAGCCCCACAUCCUUUCCAGAAAGCCAAGUCACAUCUCCAUCCCGAGGCUCAGGACUCCGGUGAAGAAAGCAAAAGGCCUGUCUUGUUCUCUUUUUGAAACAAAACAGUCCUAGUGGAAGCAAAACAAAAUCACAACCUAAACCA